UACGGAGGGGGCUAGCGUUGUUCGGAAUCACUGGGCGUAAAGGGCGCGUAGGCGGCUGUUCAAGUCGGGGGUGAAAGCCUGUGGCUCAACCACAGAAUUGCCUUCGAUACUGGACGGCUCGAGACCGGAAGAGGUCAGUGGAACUGCGAGUGUAGAGGUGAAAUUCGUAGAUAUUCGCAAGAACACCAGUGGCGAAGGCGGCUGACUGGUCCGGUUCUGACGCUGAGGCGCGAAAGCGUGGGGAGCAAACAGG
rnacentral:rRNA from 1 species